rnacentral:rRNA from 1 species
CACGUAGUUAGCCGUGGCUUUCUCACAGAGUACCGUCACUUUCUUCUUCCUCUGCGACAGAAGUUUACAACCCGAAGGCCGUCAUCCUUCACGCGGCGUUGCUGCGUCAGGGUUUCCCCCAUUGCGCAAUAUUCCCCACUGCUGCCUCCCGUAGGAGUCUGGGCCGUGUCUCAGUCCCAAUGUGGCCGAUCAACCUCCCAGUUCGGCUACUGAUCGUCGACUAGGUGGGCCGUUACCCCGCUACUAUCUAAUCAGACGCGAGUCCAUCUGUAAGCGAUAAAUCUUUCAAAGCUUCCCCAUGCGGAAAAACUUCAAUAUGCGGUAUUAGCACAGAUUUCUCUGUGUUAUCCCCCUCUUACAGGCAGGUUACUCACGCGUUACUCACCCGUCCGCCGCUCUCCAACAAAAGACUUCACCCCGAAGGACUCAGUCUCUUCGUUUUCCCGCUCGACUUGCAGUGUGUUAGCACGCCGCCAGCUCGUCCUGUCGCGAGACGUCAACGUCU